UACGGAGGGGGGCUAGCGUUGUUCGGAAUUACUGGGCGUAAAGCGCACGUAGGCGGCUUUGUAAGUUAGAGGUGAAAGCCCAGGGCUUAACCCUGGAAUUGCCUUUAAGACUGCAUCGCUCGAAUUGUGGAGAGGUGAGUGGAAUUCCGAGUGUAGAGGUGAAAUUUCGUAGAUAUUCGGGAAGAACACCAGUGGCGAAGGCGACUUACUGGACACAUAUUGACGCUGAGGUGCGAAAAGCGGUGGGGAGCAAACAGG
rnacentral:rRNA from 1 species